rnacentral:lncRNA from 1 species
AUUAACUUGCAUAAUAGAAAAUCCUAAUUAAAACUUAGGCUAAAAAUAAAUAUAAAAUAAUAAUGUAAUUCCUAAUUAAAUCAAGUAGAUAAGAUCUUAAAUAAUGUAAUUUUGUUGAGAUAUUUGUUAGCUGAGUUGUUGAUGCCUUGACCAAGUCUUGAUCUAUUUGAAGAUUCACAAGCCUCUUUUGAUUUCAAAAUCCCCACAAUUUGGAGAAGAUAAGAUAGUGAACCAAGUCCUUUGCCAAAUUAUAUCUAUCUUCAAGCAACCGAAUUUAUCUUCAAGCAAGUUGAAUAACAACUUUACAAUCUAAUUUCCUUGAUUAUAGCCGUGUCAUCCCUAAGGCCAUAAAUAAUCUAUCUUCUCCUAU